UACAGAGGUCUCAACCGUUGUUCGGAUUUAUUGGGCGUAAAGGGUGCGUAGGCGGUCGCGUAAGUCAGGUGUGAAAUCUCAGGGCUCAACCCUGAAACUGCACUUGAUACUGCGUGGCUCGGGUACUGGAGAGGAGACUGGAAUUUACGGUGUAGCAGUGAAAUGCGUAGAUAUCGUAAGGAAGACCAGUGGCGAAGGCGAGUCUCUGGACAGUUACCGACGCUGAGGCACGAAGGUCAGGGGAGCAAACGGG
rnacentral:rRNA from 1 species